rnacentral:misc_RNA from 1 species
UUUCCGUAGGUGAACCUGCGGAAGGAUCAUUACUGAACUGUCGACACGAGUUGUUGCUGGUCCUCAAACGGGGGCAUGUGCACGCUCUGUUUACACAUCCACUCACACCUGUGCACCCUUAUGUAGUUCUAUGGUUUGGGGGACUCUGUCCUCCUGCCAUGGUUCUAUAUCUUUACACACACUCUGUAAUAAAGUCUUAUGGAGUGUAUACCGCGUUUAACGCAAUACAAUACAACUUUCAGCAACGGAUCUCUUGGCUCUC